rnacentral:rRNA from 1 species
AGCAGCCGCGGUAAUUCCAGCUCCAAUAGCGUAUAUUUAAGUUGUUGCAGUUAAAAAGCUCGUAGUUGAAUUUCGGGGUCAGUAGGCUGGUCGUGCCACAGGUACGUACUGGUCUCACUGAUUCCUCCUUCCUGAUGAACCGUAAUGCCAUUAAUUUGGUGUUGCGGGGAAACUGGACUGUUACUUUGAAAAAAUUAGAGUGUUUAAAGCAGGCUAACGCUUGAAUACAUUAGCAUGGAAUAAUGAAAUAGGACGUUCGAUCCUAUUUUGUUGGUUUCUAGGAUUGACGUAAUGAUUAAUAGGGAUAGUUGGGGGCAUUAGUAUUCAAUUGUUCGAGGUGAAAUUCUUGGAUUUAUUGAAGACUAACUACUGCGAAAGCUAUUUGCCUAAGGAUGUUUUCAUUAAUCAAGAACGAAAGUUAGGGGAUCGAAGACGAUCAGAUACCGUCGUAGUCUUAACCAUAAACUAUGCCGACUAGGGAUCGGAUGAUGU